AUUAAAGUGUAAUUGGGAGGUGCAUGUAUGCCAUUAUUAUGGUAAAGUUACUAAUGAACGUAGCUGUUUAUGCUUCUGGAGUUUCAUUCAACUCAUCGAUUAGUUCCUCAUGGCUGGUUGACUACAGUCUAACACAACCCUCUUCUUUUAUUCGCGCGGAAGUAGAACCACGUGAUUAUUUUGCUUCAAAAAACAAUUUAUCGAAUGAAACUGGAUCAAGUGAAUUCAGAAGCUAUAUUGAAAAUCAUCUCAACGAAACUUGCACUUGAUGUUGAAAACUUUUUAACAAAACAAGAUCUCAACCAAGCUAUGAAUUUGUCUCCCGGUGAAAUUGGUGCUUUCUAUAUGCCAUUCAGAGCUUCCUUCCUGAAACAGUGUAAAAACCUUCUGGAAACUUGAUUACAGAAAUGUUCAUCAGCUUGCAUUUACCACAUUUACAAAGCUUACGCUCUAAAUAUAACCAAAAGUGUAUGCGCGUCAUGUAAUUUAAGACAAAACGCAUACGAUUAUUUUGCUUAUAUUUAGACCGGAAGGAGUACUAAAAAGAAGUAUUUACCGGUGGAAAUUGAACAAAAUCAGGUUUUGAAAUGCAAUGUUAAAUGACCAGAAAAUAAGCCACUUCAUUAUAGUGACGAAAUCCAUGGAGAUACAAGAACAACUCUUCAAUUUGAAGACACAAUACCUAAACAGUACAAAACCCUCUCUAAUCAACUCAAUGAACAACAAAAC